rnacentral:snRNA from 1 species
GUGCUUGCUUUGGAAGCUUAUAUACCAAAAUUGGAAUGAUAUAGAAAAGAUUAGCAUGUUACCUGCACAAGGAAGACACAGAAAUUCAUGGAGUGUUCCAUUUUUGU